UACAGAGGGGGCAAGCGUUAUUCGGAAUUAUUGGGCGUAAAGGGCGCGUAGGUGGCACGGUAAGUCAAAGGUGAAAUCCCUCGGCUCAACCGAGGAACUGCCUUUGAUACUGCCGGGCUUGAGGCCGGGAGAGGGUAGCGGAACUCCCAGUGUAGCGGUGAAAUGCGUAGAUAUUGGGAGGCACACCGGUGGCGAAGGCGGCUACCUGGACCGGUUCUGACACUGCGUCGCGAAAGCGUGGGGAUCAAACAGG
rnacentral:rRNA from 1 species